UCAAGAGGUAGUUUAUCUAAAAUAUUAGUUUUGGGAAUUAAUGAAAGGAAAAUUUUCCUUCUCUUGAU
rnacentral:tRNA from 1 species